UGAGUAACACGUGGGCAACCUACCCAGAAGACCGGGAUAACGGCUCGAAAGGGCCGCUAAUACCGGAUAAUGUCGGGGUACCGCAUGGUACUCCGAAGAAAGGGGAAACCCGCUUUUGGAUGGGCCCGCGUCCCAUCAGCUAGUUGGUGAGGUAACGGCUCACCAAGGCGACGACGGGUAGCCGGUCUGAGAGGAUGGUCGGCCACACUGGGACUGAGACACGGCCCAGACUCCUACGGGAGGCAGCAGUUGGGAAUCUUGGGCAAUGGGCGAAAGCCUGACCCAGCGACGCCGCGUGAGGGAAGAAGGCCUUCGGGUCGUAAACCUCUGUCAUGGGGGAAGAAGCAAGCGACGGUACCCCAAGAGGAAGCCCCUGCUAACUACGUGCCAGCAGCCGCGGUAAUACGUAGGGGGCGAGCGUUGUCCGGAUUUACUGGGCGUAAAGGGCGAGUAGGCGGUCUGUUAAGUCAGGUGUGAA
rnacentral:rRNA from 1 species